rnacentral:rRNA from 1 species
CACGUAGGGCGCAAGCGUUGUCCGGAAUUAUUGGGCGCAAAGAGCUCGUAGGCGGUCUGUUGCGUCCGCUGUGAAAUCUCGGGGCUUAACCCCGAGCCUGCAGUGGAUACGGGCAGACUAGAGGUAGGUAGGGGAGAAUGGAAUUCCCGGUGUAGCGGUGAAAUGCGCAGAUAUCGGGAGGAACACCGGUGGCGAAGGCGGUUCUCUGGGCCUUACCUGACGCUGAGGAGCGAAAGCGUGGGGAGCGAACAGG